rnacentral:rRNA from 1 species
GACGAACGUUGGCGGCGUGCUUAAUACAUGCAAGUCAACUGAAGCAGUGGUAGCAAUAUCGCUGUGGAGGUGGCGCACGGGUGAGUAACACGUAGGUAAUCUGCCUUCAGGUCUGGCAUAACUCCGGGAAACCGGGGCUAAUAGCAGAUGAUGCAGCGGCUCGACAUCGAGACAGUUGUUAAAGCUAUGGCGCCUGAAGAUGAGCCUGCGUCUGAUUAGCUAGUUGGCGGGGUAACGGCCCACCAAGGCAACGAUCAGUAGCUGGUCUGAGAGGAUGAUCAGCCACACUGGAACUGAGACACGGUCCAGACUCCUACGGGAGGCAGCAGUAAGGAAUAUUGCUCAAUGGGAGAAAUCCUGAAGCAGCAACGCCGCGUGAGGGACGAAGGGCUUUUGCUUGUAAACCUCUGUAGUGAGAGAAAAAGAUCCCAAUCUUUGGGACAUGAUGGUAUCUCAAAAGUAAGCCCCGGCUAACUACGUG